rnacentral:rRNA from 1 species
GGGUUGUGAGGUUAAGCGACUAAGCGUACACGGUGGAUGCCCUGGCAGUCAGAGGCGAUGAAGGACGUGCUAAUCUGCGAAAAGCGUCGGUAAGGUGAUAUGAACCGUUAUAGCCGGCGAUGUCCGAAUGGGGAAACCCAGUGCAAUUCGUUGCACUAUCGUUUGAUGAAUACAUAGUCAAACGAGGCGAACCGGGGGAACUGAAACAUCUAAGUACCCCGAGGAAAAGAAAUCAACCGAGAUUCCCCAGUAGCGGCGAGCGAACGGGGAGCAGCCCGGAGUCUGAAUCAGCUUGUGUGUUAGUGGAAGCGUCUGGAAAGUCGCAGGGUACAGGGUGAUACUCCCGUACACUAAAACACACAGGCUGUGAACUCGAAGAGUAGGGCGGGACACGUGGUAUCCUGUCUGAAUAUGGGGGACCAUCCUCCAAGGCUAAAUACUCCUGACUGACCGAUAGUGAACCAGUACCGUGAGGGAAAGGCGAAAAGAACCCCGGCGAGGGGAGUGAAAAAGAACCUGAAACCGUGUACGUACAAGCAGUAGGAGCCUCUUUAUGGGGUGACUGCGUACCUUUUGUAUAAUGGGUCAGCGACUUAUAUUCUGUAGCAAGGUUAACCGUAUAGGGGAGCCGCAGGGAAACCGAGUCUUAACUGGGCGUUAAGUUGCAGGGUAUAGACCCGAAACCCGGUGAUCUAGCCAUGGGCAGGUUGAAGGUUGGGUAACACUAACUGGAGGACCGAACCGACUAAUGUUGAAAAAUUAGCGGAUGACUUGUGGCUGGGGGUGAAAGGCCAAUCAAACCGGGAGAUAGCUGGUUCUCCCCGAAAGCUAUUUAGGUAGCGCCUCGUGAAUUCAUCUUCGGGGUAGAGCACUGUUUCGGCUAGGGGGUCAUCCCGACUUACCAACCCGAUGCAAACUACGAAUACCGAAGAAUGUUAUCACGGGAGACACACGGCGGGUGCUAACGUCCGUCGUGAAGAGGGAAACAACCCAGACCGCCAGCUAAGGUCCCAAAGUCAUGGUUAAGUGGGAAACGAUGUGGGAAGGCCCAGACAGCCAGGAUGUUGGCUUAGAAGCAGCCAUCAUUUAAAGAAAGCGUAAUAGCUCACUGGUCGAGUCGGCCUGCGCGGAAGAUGUAACGGGGCUAAACCAUGCACCGAAGCUGCGGCAGCGACACUAUGUGUUGUUGGGUAGGGGAGCGUUCUGUAAGCCGUUGAAGGUGGCCUGUGAGGGUUGCUGGAGGUAUCAGAAGUGCGAAUGCUGACAUAAGUAACGAUAAUGCGGGUGAAAAACCCGCACGCCGGAAGACCAAGGGUUCCUGUCCAACGUUAAUCGGGGCAGGGUGAGUCGACCCCUAAGGCGAGGCCGAAAGGCGUAGUCGAUGGGAAACAGGUUAAUAUUCCUGUACUCGGUGUUACUGCGAAGGGGGACGGAGAAGGCUAUGUUGGCCGGGCGACGGUUGUCCCGGUUUAAGCAUGUAGGCGGAUGUUCCAGGUAAAUCCGGAACGUUAUUAACGCUGAGGUGUGAUGACGAGGCACUACGGUGCUGAAGUGACAAAUGCCCUGCUUCCAGGAAAAGCCUCUAAGCAUCAGGUAACAUCAAAUCGUACCCCAAACCGACACAGGUGGUCAGGUAGAGAAUACCAAGGCGCUUGAGAGAACUCGGGUGAAGGAACUAGGCAAAAUGGUGCCGUAACUUCGGGAGAAGGCACGCUGAUAUGUAGGUGAAGUGGUUUACCCAUGGAGCUGAAAUCAGUCGAAGAUACCAGCUGGCUGCAACUGUUUAUUAAAAACACAGCACUGUGCAAACACGAAAGUGGACGUAUACGGUGUGACGCCUGCCCGGUGCCGGAAGGUUAAUUGAUGGGGUUAUCCGUAAGGAGAAGCUCUUGAUCGAAGCCCCGGUAAACGGCGGCCGUAACUAUAACGGUCCUAAGGUAGCGAAAUUCCUUGUCGGGUAAGUUCCGACCUGCACGAAUGGCGUAAUGAUGGCCAGGCUGUCUCCACCCGAGACUCAGUGAAAUUGAACUCGCUGUGAAGAUGCAGUGUACCCGCGGCAAGACGGAAAGACCCCGUGAACCUUUACUAUAGCUUGACACUGAACACUGGUCCUUGAUGUGUAGGAUAGGUGGGAGGCUUUGAAGUGUGGACGCCAGUCUGCAUGGAGCCAUCCUUGAAAUACCACCCUUUAAUGGCUGGUGUUCUAACGUGGGCCCCUAAUCGGGGUUGCGGACAGUGUCUGGUGGGUAGUUUGACUGGGGCGGUCUCCUCCUAAAGAGUAACGGAGGAGCACGAAGGUCAGCUAAUCCUGGUCGGACAUCAGGAGGUUAGUGCAAUGGCAUAAGCUGGCUUGACUGCGAGCGUGACGGCGCGAGCAGGUGCGAAAGCAGGUCAUAGUGAUCCGGUGGUUCUGAAUGGAAGGGCCAUCGCUCAACGGAUAAAAGGUACUCCGGGGAUAACAGGCUGAUACCGCCCAAGAGUUCAUAUCGACGGCGGUGUUUGGCACCUCGAUGUCGGCUCAUCACAUCCUGGGGCUGAAGUAGGUCCCAAGGGUAUGGCUGUUCGCCAUUUAAAGUGGUACGCGAGCUGGGUUUAGAACGUCGUGAGACAGUUCGGUCCCUAUCUGCCGUGGGCGCUGGAGAAUUGAGGGGGCUGCUCCUAGUACGAGAGGACCGGAGUGGACGCAUCACUGGUGUUCGGGUUGUCAUGCCAAUGGCAUUGCCCGGUAGCUAAAUGCGGAAGAGAUAAGUGCUGAAAGCAUCUAAGCACGAAACUUGCCCCGAGAUGAGUUCUCCCUGACCCUUUAAGGGUCCUGAAGGAACGUUGAAGACGACGACGUUGAUAGGCCGGGUGUGUAAGCGCAGCGAUGCGUUGAGCUAACCGGUACUAAUGAACCGUGAGGCUUAACCUUACAACGCCGAAG